UGGGGAGUAUUGGACAAUGGGGGCAACCCUGAUCCAGCAAUGCCGCGUGGGUGAUGAAGGCCUUCGGGUUGUAAAGCCCUUUCGGCGGGGACGAUGAUGACGGUACCCGCAGAAGAAGCCCCGGCUAACUUCGUGCCAGCAGCCGCGGUAAUACGAAGGGGGCUAGCGUUGUUCGGAUUGACUGGGCGUAAAGGGCGCGUAGGCGGCUAUUUAAGUCAGGCGUGAAAGCCCCGGGCUCAACCUGGGAACGGCGCUUGAUACUGGAUGGCUUGAGGACGGGAGAGGAUGGUGGAAUUCCCAGUGUAGAGGUGAAAUUCGUAGAUAUUGGGAAGAACACCGGUGGCGAAGGCGGCCAUCUGGACCGUUUCUGACGCUGAGGCGCGAAAGCGUGGGGAGCAAACAG
rnacentral:rRNA from 1 species